UGGGGAAUAUUGGGCAAUGGGGGAAACCCUGACCCAGCAACGCCGCGUGAAGGAAGAAGGCUUUCGGGUUGUAAACUUCUUUUACCAGGGACGAAGGACGUGACGGUACCUGGAGAAAAAGCCACGGCUAACUACGUGCCAGCAGCCGCGGUAAUACGUAGGUGGCAAGCGUUGUCCGGAUUUACUGGGUGUAAAGGGCGUGUAGGCGGAGAAGCAAGUCAGAAGUGAAAUCCAUGGGCUUAACCCAUGAACUGCUUUUGAAACUGUUUCCCUUGAGUAUCGGAGAGGCAGGCGGAAUUCCUAGUGUAGCGGUGAAAUGCGUAGAUAUUAGGAGGAACACCAGUGGCGAAGGCGGCCUGCUGGACGACAACUGACGCUGAGGCGCGAAAGCGUGGGGAGCAAACAGGAUUAGAUACCCUGGUAGUCCACGCUGUAAACGAUGAAUACUAGGUGUUGGAGGAUUGACCCCUUCAGUGCCGCAGUUAACACAAUAAGUAAUCCACCUGGGGAGUACGACCGCAAGGUUGAAACUCAAAGGAAUUGACGGGGGCCCGCACAAGCAGUGGAGUAUGUGGUUUAAUUCGAAGCAACGCGAAGAACCUUACCAGGUCUUGACAUCCGAUGCAUAGUGCAGAGAUGCAUGAAGUCCUUCGGGACAUCGAGACAGGUGGUGCAUGGUUGUCGUCAGCUCGUGUCGUGAGAUGUUGGGUUAAGUCCCGCAACGAGCGCAACCCUUAUUGCCAGUUACUACGUAAGAGGACUCUGGCGAGACUGCCGUUGACAAAACGGAGGAAGGUGGGGAUGACGUCAAAUCAUCAUGCCCUUUAUGACCUGGGCUACACACGUACUACAAUGGCGUAAACAGAGGGAAGCAGCCUCGUGAGAGUGAGCAAAUCCCAAAAAUAACGUCUCAGUUCGGAUUGUAGUCUGCAACUCGACUACAUGAAGCUGGAAUCGCUAGUAAUCGCAGAUCAGAAUGCUGCGGUGAAUACGUUCCC
rnacentral:rRNA from 1 species